rnacentral:rRNA from 1 species
UACGAAGGGGGCUAGCGUUGUUCGGAAUUACUGGGCGUAAAGCGUGCGCAGGCGGCUUCUCAAGUCAGGGGUGAAAGCCCAGAGCUCAACUCUGGAAUUGCCUUUGAGACUGAGAGGCUUGAGUACGGGAGAGGUGAGUGGAAUUCCCAGUGUAGAGGUGAAAUUCGUAGAUAUUGGGAAGAACACCAGUGGCGAAGGCGGCUCACUGGACCGUAACUGACGCUCAUGCACGCAGCGUGGGGAUCAAACAGG